rnacentral:tRNA from 1 species
GAAAUGUGUUAGACCAAGUGAAAGCUGCUAACUUAUCACUAUAGCGGUUAAAAUCCGUUUACAUUUCU